rnacentral:rRNA from 1 species
UACGGAGGGUGCAAGCGUUAUCCGGAAUCACUGGGUUUAAAGGGUGUGUAGGCGGUUUGAUAAGUCAGUUGUGAAAUUCCCCGGCUUAACCGGGUGGACUGCGAUUGAUACUGUUGGACUUGAAUCAGGUUGAGGUAAGCGGAAUGUGACAUGUAGCGGUGAAAUGCUUAGAUAUGUCAUAGAACACCGAUUGCGAAGGCAGCUUGCUGGGCUUAGAUUGACGCUGAGGCACGAAAGCGUGGGGAGCAAACAGG